CUGGAGGUAUCAGAAGUGCGAAUGCUGACAUAAGUAACGAUAAAGCGGGUGAAAAGCCCGCUCGCCGGAAGACCAAGGGUUCCUGUCCAACGUUAAUCGGGGCAGGGUGAGUCGACCCCUAAGGCGAGGCCGAAAGGCGUAGUCGAUGGGAAACAGGUUAAUAUUCCUGUACUUGGUGUUACUGCGAAGGGGGGACGGAGAAGGCUAUGUUGGCCGGGCGACGGUUGUCCCGGUUUAAGCGUGUAGGCUGGUUUUCCAGGCAAAUCCGGAAAAUCAAGGCUGAGGCGUGAUGACGAGGCACUACGGUGCUGAAGCAACAAAUGCCCUGCUUCCAGGAAAAGCCUCUAAGCAUCAGGUAACAUCAAAUCGUACCCCAAACCGACACAGGUGGUCAGGUAGAGAAUACCAAGGCGCUUGAGAGAACUCGGGUGAAGGAACUAGGCAAAAUGGUGCCGUAACUUCGGGAGAAGGCACGCUGAUAUGUAGGUGAAGUCCCUCGCGGAUGGAGCUGAAAUCAGUCGAAGAUACCAGCUGGCUGCAACUGUUUAUUAAAAACACAGCACUGUGCAAACACGAAAGUGGACGUAUACGG
rnacentral:rRNA from 1 species